GACGUAGGGAGCCAGCGUUGCUCGGAAUUACUGGGCGUAAAGGGUUCGUAGGCGGUGUGGUAAGUCGGAAGUGAAAUCUCUGGGCUUAACUCAGAGGCUGCUUUCGAAACUGCCGCGCUAGAGUGCGGGAGAGGCGAGUGGAAUUACAGGUGUAGCGGUGAAAUGCGUAGAUAUCUGUAGGAACACCCGUGGCGAAGGCGGCUCGCUGGACCGCAACUGACGCUGAGGAACGAAAGCUAGGGGAGCAAACAGG
rnacentral:rRNA from 1 species